rnacentral:rRNA from 1 species
GAUGAACGCUGGCGGCGUGCCUAAUACAUGCAAGUCGAGCGAACGGACGAGAAGCUUGCUUCUCUGAUGUUAGCGGCGGACGGGUGAGUAACACGUGGAUAACCUACCUAUAAGACUGGGAUAACUUCGGGAAACCGGAGCUAAUACCGGAUGAUAUUUUGAACCGCAUGGUUCAAAAGUGAAAGACGGUCUUGCGGUCACUUAUAGAUGGAUCCGCGCUGCAUUAGCUAGUUGGUAAGGUAACGGCUUACCAAGGCAACGUUGCAUAGCCGACCUGAGAGGGUGAUCGGCCACACUGGAACUGAGACACGGUCCAGACUCCUACGGGAGGCAGCAGUAGGGAAUCUUGCGCAAUGGGCGAAAGCCUGACGGAGCAACGCCGCGUGAGUGAUGAAGGUCUUCGGAUCGUAAAACUCUGUUAUUAGGGAAGAACAUAUGUGUAAGUAACUGUGCACAUCUUGACGGUACCUAAUCAGAAAGCCACGGCUAACUACGUG